GACGAACCGAGCGAACGUUGUUCGGAAUCACUGGGCUUAAAGGGCGCGUAGGCGGGCUGACAAGUCUGGGGUGAAAUCCCGCGGCUCAACCGUGGAACUGCCUUAGAUACUGUCGGCCUCGAGGAAGGUAGGGGCAUGCGGAACUGUAGGUGGAGCGGUGAAAUGCGUUGAUAUCUACAGGAACUCCGGUGGCGAAAGCGGCGUGCUGGACCUUUUCUGACGCUGAGGCGCGAAAGCUAGGGGAGCAAACGGG
rnacentral:rRNA from 1 species